rnacentral:rRNA from 1 species
CAAAUGACUCUCGGCAACGGAUAUCUCGGCUCACGCAUCGAUGAAGAACGUAGCAAAAUGCGAUACUUGGUGUGAAUUGCAGAAUCCCGUGAACCAUCGAGUUUUUGAACGCAAGUUGCGCCCGAAGCCAUCCGGCCGAGGGCACGUCUGCCUGGGCGUCACAC